rnacentral:rRNA from 1 species
CACGUAGGCGGACUGAUAAGUCGGAUGUGAAAUCCCUCGGCUUAACCGAGGAAGUGCAUUCGAAACUGCCAGUCUUGAGUAUGGAAGAGGGUCGCGGAAUUCCCGGUGUAGAGGUGAAAUUCGUAGAUAUCGGGAGGAACACCAGUGGCGAAGGCGGCGACCUGGGCCAAUACUGACGCUGAGGUGCGAAAGCGUGGGGAGCAAACA